rnacentral:rRNA from 1 species
CAGCAGCCGCGGUAAUACGUAGGACUCAAGCGUUAUCCGGAGUGACUGGGCGUAAAGAGUUGCGUAGGUGGUUUGUUAAGCGAAUAGUGAAAUCUGGCGGCUCAACCGUACAGACUAUUAUUCGAACUGGCAAACUCGAGAAUGGUAGAGGUAACUGGAAUUUCUGAAGUAGGGGUAAUAUCCGUAGAUAUCAGAAGGAACACCAAUGGCGUAGGCAGGUUACUGGACCAUUUCUGACACUGAGGCACGAAAGCGUGGGGAGCGAACCGGAUUAGAUACCCGCGUAGUCCCUGUCUCUUAU